rnacentral:ncRNA from 1 species
GCACUCCGGAGAAUCCUGUAGCGGAUAUCAUCCGCUUGUAGGGGAGGGGCUCGCUCCUCCCGUCAUCAGACAGGUGCCGAAGGGGCAAGCGCGCUUUUGCGCGUCAAUCUCUCAGGCAAAAGGACGGAGCU